GACGAACGCUGGCGGCGUGCUUAACACAUGCAAGUCGAACGGUGAAGCGCCUUCCUUUUUGGUGGGUGUGGAUGAGUGGCGAACGGGUGAGUAACACGUGAGUAACCUGCCCCCUUCUUCUGGAUAACCGCAUGAAAGUGUGGCUAAUACGGGAUAUUCUGGGUCUGUCGCAUGAUGGGUCUGGGAAAGAUAUUGUUUCGGUGGGGGAUGGGCUCGCGGCCUAUCAGCUUGUUGGUGGGGUGAUGGCCUACCAAGGCGGUGACGGGUAGCCGGCCUGAGAGGGUGGACGGUCACACUGGGACUGAGACACGGCCCGGACUGCUACGGGGGGCAGCAGUGGGGAAUAUUGCACAAUGGGGGCAAGCCUGAUGCAGCGACGCCGCGUGAGGGAUGGAGGCCUUCGGGUUGUGAACCUCUUUCGCCAGUGAAGCAGGCCUGCCUCGUUUGUGGGUGGGUUGACGGUAGCUGGAUAAGAAGCGCCGGCUAACUACGUG
rnacentral:rRNA from 1 species